rnacentral:rRNA from 1 species
GACGAACGCUGGCGGCGUGCUUAACACAUGCAAGUCGAACGCUGAAGCUUGGUGCUUGCACUGGGUGGAUGAGUGGCGAACGGGUGAGUAAUACGUGAGUAACCUGCCCUUGACUCUGGGAUAAGCCUGGGAAACUGGGUCUAAUACUGGAUACGACAUGUCACCGCAUGGUGGUGUGUGGAAAGGGUUUUACUGGUUUUGGAUGGGCUCACGGCCUAUCAGCUUGUUGGUGGGGUAAUGGCACACCAAGGCGACGACGGGUAGCCGGCCUGGGAGGGUAAGCGGCCACACUGGGACUGAGACACGGCACAGACUCCUACGGGAGGCAGCGGUGGGGAAUAGUGCACAAUGGGAGAAAGGCUGAUGCAGCGAAGCAGCGUGAGGGAUGACGGCAUUCGGGUUGUAAACCUCUUUCAGCACGGAAGAAGCGAAAGUGACGGUACGUGCAGAAGAAGCGCCGGCUAACUACGCG